CACAGCCCCUUUUUUGAACCGGUUGGGUUUCGGUUUUCAUCUUAAAAUAAUUCCGUACCGAUUUCGGUGUUUUACCUUAUAAGAACCGACGUGUAUUCGGUUUCAUUUAUCGGUUUUUACCCUCAAUCUGUCUCAGUCCUCCUCUUGUACGCAUUUUUUUCGGUUUUACCCCGAAAAGAAUCGGUUCAGGUUUCGGUUUUCACCCUUGCAUUUUCUCAAUGUCUCUCUCUCUAAUCGACCCGUUGAGGUCCGGCCUCCAAAACCCAGAUCACACGGACGACUUCGUUUGACGCCGGAAAGUCGUCGGAUUCCGUCGUAUGCGGAAGAGAGAGCUAGAGAGGACUGCGGGUAAAACACGUUAUUUUCGAAAGUAAGUGAGCGCAGUACUGAAAGUUUAAUUAAAACGGGACGCUGGGUACGCAGACGACGAAACGAUCCAGAACGCCGCCUAGUCCCAUAGACGACGAUGCUGCAGCAGCAACAACCCCAAACACUGACCCAGAACUCCACGCCGGGCAGCCUCCCUCUGCGGGGUCUACCACGGCGGAGGCGCCGCCAACACCGACCCUCCUUUCAUUUUCUCUCUCCCGUCCUCAUCCUCUCUCUCUUCUCUCUUUUGGCGGGGUCUUCCUGCACUGAUCUUACCGGUCCACCACCAUGAAGAUUCAAAUAGAGAGAGAGACUGGGGAGGCCGCAGUAGGGUUUUCGUGGCGGAAGUGUUUGGCAUCUGGCAUGAGGUUUUGGAGAAGAAGAGUUCUUUUUCUGUAAAAAUUGGAUCUCAUUUCGGAUUUAUUUUCGGCCACGAGUGAGUGAAUUGUAGAGCUGCAGCUGCUUGUGCAAAUUGCAAUCACAGGGAAUUUAAUUGAAACCCACUACCGAGUCCAUGGCGGAGAGCAAUUGGGAAAGUAGAAUUCAAAGAAUACUUUGUGAAGGGAAACUUUGAUGGCUACGUUCAGAUGAAAUAUGUGAAGUUCUUUGAAGUCAUAACGGAGUUGCAAUUUCUGAGAAGCCUGAAGUUAAGCCACCGAGUGGAUCCAUUUUUCUUUUUGAUAAGAAGGUGGAGAAACAUUUUAGAAAUGAUGGCUACAAAUGGAAGAAAGCAAAAGUUGGAAGGACUAAGGAAUCCCAUGAGAAGCUCAAGGUUGAAGGUCUAGAUACAUUGCACUGCUACUAUGCUCAUGGAGAAGAAGAUGGAAAUUUUCAACGACGCAUUUACUGGAUGCUUGAAGAGUGAGCUUCUAAAAGAAUUUAUUCUCUUUUUCGGCCUCAAUGCAGAAUCUCUCACAUAUGGUUCUUGUCCACUAUCGGGACGUAAAGUAAUUUUCAUUUUCAAAUCACUGUUUGGAUUUUGAAGUAUGAAGAGAUCAAACUCUUGUAAGUAAACGCAAAAGGGUUUUAGAUAUAGACUUGAACUCCUUGGUUCUCAUCUUUAUUAUAAAAUAAUGACUAGUGUCUCUUACAAUCAAAUACAGACUUCUAAAGUGAAGGACGUUGUGGUUCCACCAUAAAACCAAUUGGCAAUAUGGAGAGUAACUAAACUCCUUAUAAGCACGUGCAAGUUCCAUUCUUUCCCUGAUGUGAGAUUCGGUCUCAAAAUAAAAGAAAACUACUUCAUUGGAUCAGUUAUACAACAAUCUAGAUAUGACUUUAGAUGAGAUCUAGGCUCUUAUGACCUUAUAAUUUGUCCGUCAUAUCCAUGUCCUACCUAUUCAUGUUUAUUUUGAUAUAUAACAUGAUCAGGGAGAGAAAAGAAAGGCUAGAUACAUUGAAGAGACUGAGAGUGCAGAAGGUGUUCAACAUUCCCGCAAAACUGACGAAAUUACACCCAAUUCUAAGAUGGACAGUUUUGCUUCUUCUAGUUUCAAUCCAAGUAAGUUCCAGCAUUCACUAGCUACAGAUGGGACAAACUUGAAUAGUGCCCCAACAUCAGAGUCUGAAAACACUGAAUCAGGUGUUUGUUUUACCUUGUCAAAGUCUCUCCGAUAUUUGUCACGAGUUCCAUUUCUUUUACAAAUAUUUCGGUGAUUUUUUUUUUUUUUUUGUAUUAUUUGUUCUCCGUGUUUAUCUUCUAUAUAUUUCUUCUAUUAUUGUUGUCUUCACUUAACUCAAUAAAUGUUGCAGCAUACCCUCUUCUUGAGAUCAAUGCUAGAUAUCUUGAUAGAUCCUGUCCCUUGAUACAUACAAGUAAUACUCGUUACCUUUCAAAAAUCCAUAUCGUCUUUGUCAACACAUGAAUUCAUUUAAAGAAGCUGUUUCUUCAUGUUUUGUUCCAACAAAUUUUCAAAUGCUUUCCCAAGCUGUAAACACGGAAAGUUUGAGUGAUGUAUAUACAUCAGACUUUGAAGAGCUCAAUCAGCAUGUGAUGAUUGUCGUUGGGAAAGCUUCUUUAAUAACACUGUCACUACUGGAUUCUCUGGAAUUGAUGAACCCGGAUUGUUUGAUUUGGA